UAUGAAAUCCAUACAAGAAAGUAAAGAUGAAACCUGGAACAUAAGGCUUAGAGAAAGCUCCUCAAGCUCCAGAACUCAAACCCUCUCUUCUAACUUAUGAAAAUAUGAUAAAAUGACAAAAGGUUUCAAGAGAAAUGUCUAAAAACCAAUUUAUAGGUAAAACAUGCGAGUCUGGGCGCUCAGGCGCCAAUUCAGAGCGCCUGAGCG
rnacentral:lncRNA from 1 species